UUUUUCUUUAUUUCUUUUUCUCCUCUCCCGUCGUCGUGCCCCAAACCCCUCGCGCGCCUUCUCUUCUCCACCGUGCCCUAUCGCGAUGGUUUCCUUCUCCUCGCGAUUAAAGCAGUGCCUGAUUCUUUCUCUCCUCUGCUUACCGUCUCUGCCAGCCUCUCCACUCGAUCUCCCUCUACCCUUUUCAGCGCCACCGACCACUGAAGUGCCGCCAGCCUCCCUUGUACCCUAGCAUCGCAUUGCUGCCGACGCCUUCCUCCUCUCUUCUCCCAAGCGCCGGAGCUCGAUCUCUUCCUCUCUCCCAUGCCCUAGCUAGCCACCAGCACCCGUCGCCUCUCGCCAUGGAGAUCUUAGAUUUGCUGCCCCCUUUUUGUUAGCGUGUUUUGGCUGGAAGAGGGAGUAACAAGCCCUCUCUUGAUCAGCCCCGGUUCUCCACUGCCGAGCCCUCUACCCAUCUGCUAAUCGUCGACGCCAGCCAAGUUAUUGUUCCCCAUCCUUUCCUCUCUUCCGGCAGAGCAGAGCCGUCGACUCCUUGUUCUUGAGCCGUGCCUUAGCACAGUAGCCGGAUCCUUGAUCACCUCUGACCAGUGGAAAGGAAGAGGGAAAGAUUUCAAGCAGGAAUUGUGUACUAUGGGGAGUUCCUGGUUUCGGCAGCAGCCCAUUCAGCAUUCCCUUGUUCCAGCAGCAAUCAACCUUAAUUGGGCAGCAACUCUUUAAUUCUAGCAUCUUCUUGUUCUUGAAUAAAGCUGUGGAACUUAAGGACUUUGACGCGAGACGAGUAUCUCGAUUACCGGAUUGGACCAUUUUAUUUGGAGG